ACCUGCGCGAAGGAUCAUUG
rnacentral:rRNA from 1 species